rnacentral:rRNA from 1 species
CGAGCGGCGGACGGCUGAGUAACACGUAGGAACGUACCCCAAAGUGAGGGAUAAGCACCAGAAAUGGUGUCUAAUACCGCAUGUGCUCUAAGGAGUAAGGCUUUAUGCGCUUUGGGAGCGGCCUGCGCCUGAUUAGUUUGUUGGUGAGGUAAUGGCUCACCAAGACUACGAUCAGUAGCUGGUCUGAGAGGAUGAUCAGCCAGACUGGGACUGAGAACGGCCCAGACUCCUACGGGAGGCAGCAGUAGGGAAUUUUCCACAAUGGACGAAAGUCUGAUGGAGCAACGCCGCGUGCAGGAUGAAUGCCUUUGGGUUGUAAACUGCUUUUAUCUGUGACGAAUAUGACGGUAGCAGAUGAAUAAGGAUCGGCUAACUCCGUGCCAGCAGCCGCGGUCAUACGGAGGAUCCAAGCGUUAUCCGGAAUUACUGGGCGUAAAGAGUUGCGUAGGUGGCAUUGUAAGUUAGUAGUGAAAUCGUGUGGCUCAACCAUGCUCACAUUACUAAAACUACAAAGCUAGAGAAUGAGAGAGGUCGCUAGAAUUCCCUGUGUAGGAGUGAAAUCCGUAGAUAUAGGGAGGAAUACCGAUGGCGUAGGCAGGCGACUGGCUCAUUUCUGACACUAAGGCACGAAAGCGUGGGUAGCAAACGGGAUUAGAUACC